rnacentral:lncRNA from 1 species
CUUUUUUUUCCAGUGACUUAGAACAGAUGGCCAGCCCCACACAAAACUUUUCUGAGUUUGAUUCAGCCCUACAGUACAAAUUAGAGAGUUUUCCAUGCAAGUUUUCAUCUGUCCCAGGCCAUCAACUGAUACAGAAGUCUCUAAUAAAGUUGAGUCCUAAGUCACUACUUGGAAGGUGGUGA